GUCUACGUUGAUUAAAUGGUAAAUCGCCCACAGAGAUUGAUCCAAAUCGAAGAUUGGAAUGGGAGAUGGAGGUUCGAAUCCUCCCGGGGGCA